rnacentral:lncRNA from 1 species
AGUUCUCCUUGGCUUUUAUCUCAGUCAGGUUCUACCACUGAUAACCUUAGGACUCAGUACAGGCUUAAGGUGAAUCUCUAUUGUAUUAACCAUGCGACCUCAGGAAACCAACAAUGAAGUGACCAAAUUAGGGACUACCUACUACACGGUGAUGGAGAGGGCCCUCUUAACACCCCGUGAAAAAUACAGCGAGCCUAUCACCGAUAGCAUGAACAUUGGAUGGCAUGUCAACAAGGAGAACACAGCAGAGGCUUCAGUUCAAAGGAAAUUCGGAAGGCGGGUCACUGAUGUUACCAGUUUUUCGAGCAAUUUUCCCAUGUGCCGCCAGCAUAGUCCUCCCCCAAGGAAGACCACCGCCGAUCACCCACGCCCCGUCAUGGGGCGGGCCCCCAAAUCCAGCACAGACUGGAGGACAGCAGACCCCAAAGCACCAGCCCCACCAGCUACCCAUUACAAUAUGAUGGAGAGGGCCCGCUUAACGCCCCAUGAAAAAUACACCCAGCCUAUCACCAUGAACAUGACAUAUGGAUGGCAUGUCACCAAUGAGGUAAGAAAGAAUUUAUAAUGUCAUUACAUUUUGUCAAUGAUCUACAUUUAUUAUUAUUAUUAUUAUUAUGCAUUAAGAUAUCCUCACACCCUCUCAUGGUCAUUUAAGGUAUUUUGUCACAAGCAAAUUAAUUGAAAACUUACUGAACCACUAACCAUAAAUAUUCAUUUUUUUUCUCUAAGAACACAGCAGAGG